GCGCAGCUCGUCCGGCCCGCCCGCAGGCCAGCUUCUCUCGGGAGCCUCCACCCAGGCGCAUGGCUCCAUGAAGCAAGAGGAGGAGGCAGAGCGCGAGAGAUCCCGUCCGCCCCAGCCGCGUCUGGGCCAGGAGAAAAGCAAAACCAUAUUCCUGCUGCUGUCAGUUUUGAUGCACUGAGAAAACUUCAGAGACCUAAGCUUUUUCCAGAGAAGAGAAGCUUUACUGGUGUUCCAGCCCUAAGCAUUGACUUCACUAAUGGAUGUGACCUGGUUGGCAGCAGUAGCUUGCACAACAUGCUUGUUUGCAAAACUUAAAUCCUCAGUGUGACACAACUCAGUCCUUCUACUGCAGCAGCUCUUUUAUAAAAGCCUCCCAAAGCUCCAAGAAGGAACAAAGAAUGUGACCCAGUAAGCUCACACCAUAAGUCUAUAUUGCAGAAACCUUUGUUCAACAAAACUGCAGAUGCUCUGUUGAAUCCACUGGAGAUUGUCCUGAUACUAAGGACAAGUAUGCUCAUAUGACAUUAACAGACAAGACACUUUUCAGAAAGACAGGUAAGUCAUUUGUUAAAAUCUCACUACUGUUGUUUAACAGAAACAUAUAUAUGCAUGUAUAUGUGUGUACUGUAUGGAAAAAGUGGAAUUAGAGUUUAUCUAGAAAAGAAAAAAUUACCUCAUCUAAGUGCAGAAAUGAAUAAUACUUAAACCAUACCAUACAAUUCUCUAUCAUAUUUCCACAGAUAAGUCAAAAAUUUAAAAAAUCUUAUUGUUCAUGCAUAAAUGCAGAAAACAAUAUCUCUAGUAUAUGUUUGUGUUCUAUUGUACUUUCACAGAAGGUGUUUGAUACUUAAUACUGUGUUUAUUAAGAAAAAUCUUUGCAAUGGUUAUGGAAUUAAAAUUUCAUGUAAAAAUGAUUAUGUAGAUCAAGAAAAGUUGCAAUUUUCUGGAUUCCUGAUAUUUUAAAUAAAAGUAGUUUCCAAAGGC
rnacentral:lncRNA from 1 species